UGCUCCUCCAGCCCAAGUCCUGGAAUGA
rnacentral:piRNA from 1 species